AAACCAAUUCUAUUCUAUGAACUGUCAAAUAUGAUCAACAUAUCCUUCACAUCUACGUUCAAAUCAAAGCUGGAGCCAUCGCAUGAAUAUGUACACUUUAAAAUUCACAAAAGGACAUUCUCACAGGUUCACUGGAGCUUAAUGAGUAGUUAAUAUAUCUGCACCGAAGUGACAGUUCACAGGUUCCAGGAUAACCAGAUGACUGAGGAAUGUUGAAGAUUGCAGUGAUGGAAGUGCCUCAGUCAGCCUGGAAGACUGUAUGGAUGGAGGUUGCCUGGCCACACUGUCAUGUCCCUCUCUCCCUGAAAAAGAGACACAUUUGCCUUUGGGCAAGGCAAUACAUACAUUUGGUCUAUGUAUACACUUUGGUCUAUGCAUUCUGUUAUUUAACAUUCUAAUAAUGUUGAUGACCUUAAAAUAUGCUUGACAAUGAUCCGUGUAAAUCAUUAUUAUUCUGCCUUCUGCAAGAUAAGAAUUAUGGGCCAGGUAUGGCACUUAACGCCUAUAAUACAAACAUUUUGGAAGGCCAAGGCAGGAGGAUUGCUUGAGCUCAGGAGUUAGAGACCAGCUUGGGCAACAUAGUGAGACCUCAUCUCUACUAAAAAUAAAACAAAAAAAGUUAUGAGAGUGACACUGCACUCCAGCUUGGGUGACAGAGCGAGAUCCUGUAUCCAAAUAAAUAAAUAUCUAAUAUAGGAAUUAUCAAAUUCAACACAUAUUAAUUAUUUUCAUAUCCAUUUAUGGAAAAUAAUAAUGUGGGGAUGAUUCUUAAAAGGGAUUCUGGAAGUGGUUUCUUCAAUUAAAUAUAUUCAAAACUCAUUCCCGCUUACUACACAAAUCAAAGAGGAAUUGAAAAUGUGUGUGAUUCCCACUAAAUUAUUUUCCUUUCAUAUGGCUUGAUGUUACUGUCUUUGUGGAGUGGCUGAGAAAUGUCUCCUUCUUGCCUUUAUCUUCAAAGGCUCUGCCAAUGUGAAGUACAGGAGAGAGAGGCAAGAGCAGGGCCCACUAGUGGAAUCAUCUCAGCCUUAUUCCCCAGGGGAAAACACAUUCUUUUUCACUUUCCUGAGCUGCCUUAUCUGAUAAAAAUGAUUCUUACAUCUCCCAGCAAUGCCUUCUGAUUGUAAUGUAGUUUAUGCCACUGGUUUGCCUAUUUCUCAAAUAUAAACCUACACGCAUGUACACACAUUUGGCCUUAGCCUUUCUAAUUCCACUCUCAUCAGGACAGAUUGCACACCUGUAAACAUUCUUAGAUCAACUCCAGUAAUCAAUCCACAUUCAUGUAACCCCUGCAGAAUAAAGAUCAUUGGAGACCUUCAAGAUUGACUUCCCAUUUAAACCGUAAGAAAACAAGACCCCAAUGUGUCAGCUGCAGAACCACAAUAAGGACCUAAGUCCCAUGUCUUAUUGUUCAGUGGUUUUUCUAAGUCACUGUAAAAUUUUUCUACAUUCCUGGCCUGAGAACAGAAGUACCUUUUGCUUAUCUAUUCAAUUAAAUUCAGUAGUUGGUAAAUGUGAAUAAAGGAAAUCAAAACACUAUUGAAGAUUAUUUAGAUAUGGCUGAGAAGUGGGGUGAACAAACCUGACCCACUUUAACUUAGAGAUUCAAAAUAUAAACUUAACUCAGUUGCAGUCAACAACCUGACAUUAAAUGCAAACAUACAAGUAAAGAACCCAAGUAAACAGAAAAAACUAACCUGCUACCUACCUUUAAACACUAAAUAUAGAGCUCCUGUCGUCCUGUUUCUUACUGAUUUAUAACUUCAAAUAAUGGGUCAAGAAAAAAGCUACAUAUAUGAAAAGAUGAGAUCUGCGUUUCAAUCCAAAUCUUUCUUUCAAUAACCCUACUACUUGAAACCAUAGAAGGAGACAGGAACUUCCUCCCUUGUUUCUUUUUUCUUUUUCAAAACUACCCACUAAUCUUUUAAUUAAAAGUGAAUGAUGGAGAGAUGGCAAGUGAGCAGGAGAAGCUGAGGAACACAGCUCCCUUAUGUAUUUGCACAACGCUAAUCACUCUUCACAUCUUACAGAGAGAUCUGUACUAGUUACAUGGAAUCUAAUCUGUUCUACUAAAGCUGAUGCUGUCAGCUGCCAUGCUUAGCUCUCAUUCAUUAUGCUUGUAGACACAUUUUGAGAAAAUACAUUAUCUAGAAGAGAAACUUCUAAGAAGGUUUUAUAUACUAUAUGAUGCUAAUAUUUUAGAUAAUGUUUUAUGCUAGUUUAAUCUUUGUGUAUUGAAAGAACUCUGAUUUUCCUGGAAGUCCCUAGACAGUACAUUUAAUUAAUCUUACCUCUCAGUUCAACAAGUUGCCUUUUACUUUAGUCAUAUAAUCAAUCUCUUGGUAAUAAUAUAUAGUGAUAUCCAGGCAUGUAUGAUGCAAGCAAGUUUUUAGUUUAAAGCUAAGGAAUUAAAAUGAAAACAAUACAUAGUGCUCUCUGUACAACAAUGACUGAGAAUAGGUAGUCGUGCUCUUUAUAUACAAGGCACUGUGCUGAGCAUAUUUUGUAAGUUAUUGCCAUGAUUCCAUGUAAUUAUGUAUUAUAAUUUUACCUUUGAAGAAGAUAAGCCUCAAAAAUGGCAAGCAGUUCACCCACCCACAUUUAAAUGUCUGUUACACCUCUGAGAUAUACAACCCAUGAAUUCUACCAUUAUUCACUCUGUCUGUCAACUCCAUUCUGUCUUCAUGUACCUCCCAGCCCAAUUGAUGUGUCAAGGCAUUGGAUUUAAUUCAUUCACUCCAGAAAUAUUUAUCACAUGCUUAUAGGUGCUUGGCUCUCUUCUAGGUGCCCAAGUCACAUCAGUGAAAAAAAAAAAUAAACAAGAUCCUCAUCCUCAUCAAGCUUAUAUUUAUUUCCCAACAUCUGAUUUCAAUUUCCUUGCCAUGCACUCCUUUCAUCAUAGAAGCCUUACAAAAUCCCCAAUCCAAUUGAAUCUAAUUCUGUGCUUCAUGUUUCUCACCCUCGCUUGGUAAAACCCACAACUGUGCUUGCCGGAUUUUACCAUAAAUUACUAACCAUGAACUUCAAGUGGUCUAUUAGUGAUCAGUACCAACGCUUUAAUAGUUGUCUGCUCCUUUGACUCUUUCACAUUCCUAAAAGAUUUUCCAUUUUUCUCUGUCUCCUUCCAGCAACUCCUGGCCAAUUCUUAUCUCACCUAAUGACUUUGAUUCUUAUUAUACAAAGACAAUAGUAAAAAUCAGAAGAGUACUUAUACAAACUACCACCAUGAAAAUCAUCACUCUACCUGUAUCUCUCCCGACUCUUGAUCAUCCUUCCUACCACUGUGGAGAAAUUUUUCUGUGCAUUUUUGUUCUCAGUACUGCUGAAGAUUUUUUCCAUGCUUCUGUCCAAGGAGGGCAUCUCUUCACUAGAUCCCAGUUGUAUCAUUCUAGCAUUGGCGCUUAUUUUCUCGCAUAUCACUGGCUUUCCAAUUUUUCCCUUUUAAAAGGAUAAUUCUUAUAAAUUUACAGCUAUAAUAGAUAACAGAAAAAAGCCUCUCUUGAUCCAAGGUCUCCUUCCGUUUCCCACCCCAUUUAUCUCUUUUUCUUUACAUUAAAGUUUUUCCAACUGUUUCCAGUUUCUCCCACAGAAUUCUCUCCUUAAUCUAGCCCUGGAAGACUCUCAGGCCUAUGACUUCAAAAUGAGAUCCUCCACCCAGACCAUUAUUGAUCUCAAAGUUGCUAAGUUCAGGUAAAUUCCUGGUACUUGUCUUACUUGACCUCUGUGGUGCUUAAAUUAGCUGAUCCCUUUCCUUCUUGAAACACAUUGUCCAGUUUAUUUCCAGGAUGCCAUUUUCUUGAUUCUUCUCAUGAGAUUCUGCUCAGAUUUCUUUGUUUGAUCUUUCUCAACUCUCCAGCCUUUGAAAUUUGGGAUGCACUAAAACUCAGUCCAUUGAUAUUUCCUUUUAAAAAUGCCCAUUGCCCUACUGAACACAUCUAGUCUCGUAUCAUCUACACAUGGAUGAUUUCCCAAUUUAUAUUUCCACAUUUAAAUGCCUACUCUAAAUAUUUGCAUGGCUAUCUAAAAAGCAUCUCAAAUGUAACAUGCCCAUAUUUGAUCUCCCUCAUACUUCCCUCUUCCAAUAAAAUUUUCAAGUCUUCUUCUCAGUAAUGGUAAAUACUCUCUACGGCCAUAUCAUCCUGAACAUGCACAAUCUCAUUAACAAUGGCAAAUACUUUCUUCCAGAUGCUGAUGUGGAAAACCUAAUGUUCAUCCUUGAUUAAUAUUUUUCUCUUACAUCACAUAUCUCACCCACCCCUGUACCACCUGUUUCAAGCCAUCAUCACUUUACACCUGCAUUAUUGCAAUAUCCUCCUAAGAAGCUGCUCUUUUUUUUCACCACCUCCAACAUCAGCUCGUAACACAGCAGCCAAAAUGACCAUUUUAAAAUAAAAGUUAGAUCCUCUCUCUCUCUCAGUAUAAACGCUCUUUCUCAGAGUAAAAGCCAGGUCUAACAAUGGCACCUCAUAAUUGUCCAUCUUAUCUCCUGACCUCAUUUCUUACCUCUCUCCUUCUCUAGCUCUUUUCCUUAUACCCUGGAAUCCUUGAACUUGAUCCAGACUCAGGACCUCUUCCUGGAACAUUCUACUCUCUGAUAGCUCUAGAACUAGAAUAUAAGGUAAAUAACACUUGCUGAUUUGAAAAAUAUACUACAAACCUAAGUGGUUUAAUACAAUAUCUUUUUUUUUUUUUUUUUGGCUAAUAUUACAGUCCAGUGAGAAUAUGACAGCACCUCUGGUUAGCUCUCUUCUAAGCAGAGAUUAAGUCCUUGAUUUUGGUCCUAAAGAGAGAAAGAAAAAGCAAGGAGAAGAGUACAGUGAGUUUUAAGAGUCUGACCUGUAAAUGGCCUACAUUUUUCCUUCCCACAUUUCAACAACUACUGCUCAGUCUCAUGACUAAUCUAUCUGCAAAGAGAUAAAUUCAGAAGCACAAAGCUAGCCUAAAUAUUAGAAUGCCCCCCCCCCCCAGAUCUCUGCCACAUUAGUCCCCUGCUUUCCUCAGGAAGACAAGGGAAACUUUUUCUGGCUACCCUGCUUACAAGAGCAACACUUCCUAAAUUAAAUGUUGCUCAGUGAUCUCCAAUCCUGCUUGUUUGUUUGCUGGUUUGAGACAGAGUCAUGCUCUGUCACCCAGGCUGGAGUGCAGUGGUGUGAUCUUGGCUCACUCUAAGCUCCACCUCAUGGGUUCAAGUGAUUAUCCUGCCUCAGCCUCCCAAGUAGCUGGGAUUACAGGUGCCCAGCACUACGCCUGGCUAAUUUUUGUAUUUUUAGUUGAGACGGGGUUUCACCAUGUUGGCCAGGCUAGUCUCAAACUCCUGACCUCAAGUGAUCCAUCUGCCUCGGCCUCCCAAAGUGCUGGGAUUACAGGUGUGACCCACUGGGCCCGGCCCAAUCCUGUUUUUUUAAUGUCCCUGGACACCCAGCUCAACUGCAUGUUUUGCUUUUCUUAAAGUUAGGUGAAGUCAGGCAAUGGAGCUUUUAGACAAGAAAAUGCAUAUAAACUGAGUGGAAUUGAUCAAACCUUGUAAUCCUGCUUCCUUAAAAUGCCUGUGUGCUGUUCUCUACUCCCUUUCUUCAACCACCAACUGAACACAGGGUUCUAGAGUUCUCAGGAGGGCAGAUACAAGAGAGCAGGAGGAUGGGUUCCUGAAUGACCACAUGGAAGGCUUCCCACUAAUAAGAAAUCUUAGUAUUGGACUUCACAUAAACACUGAGAAAAUGGCUCUUUGGGAAGCCACUAAAAUUUUUUUAUUUAUCUGUUAUAGCAGUUAGUUAUAGCCUUCCCAAUUCAAUGUCCUAUGUCUCUGAAUGUGCUUUAUUUAAAACCACAUCACUUAUCACCAUCUGACAUAUUCUGUAUUUGCCUGUCACUUUUUCUCCUGUGUCUUCUGUCCAGAGAAAGUGUUGGCCAACUAUAACCCAAGAGCCAAAUCUAGCUUGCUUCCUGUUUUCAUAUGUAAUUAUUUAUUGGAAUAUAGCCACAGCUAUUCAUUUCUGUAUUUAGAGAGGAGCUGUGUCUAUGCUACAACAGGAGAGUUCAGUAGUUGCAACAGAGAAACUGUAUGAUCUACAAACAAUAUUUACUAUCUGGCCCUUUACAGAAACAGUUUGCCAAUGUUUGUACUAGAAUGUAAACUCCAAGAAUGUAAAACCUUUGUCUCUUUAGUUUGCUGUUAUAUACCCAGCAUUAGAACAGUCUCUGGUCCAUUGCAGGUAUUCAUAUAAUAUUUGUUAAAUGCAUAAUUGAAUAAGUGAAUGAGUGUGCAGCAAGCCAAAAAUGUUCCAGAAAAAAAAUUCAUAUCUAAAUUUCUUGAACCUCUGAAUAUUGCCUUACAUGAAAAAUCAGACAAACAAAAAUCAAUCAUUGCAUGUGAUUAAGUUAAAGAUCUUGACCUAAAAGAUUAUCCAGUAUUAGCCAGAUGGACUCUAAAUACAAUCACAUGUAUCUGUAUAAGAGGGAAGCAGAAAGAAAUUUGACCACACAGACAGAAAAGGAGAGGGGAUGUGAUCACACAGGCAGAGGUUAGACUGAUGUACCACAAGCCAAUGAAUGUUGGUGGCCACUAGAAAUAUUAUCUAAAGGAUUAGGAAUUAUCUGUUUAGAACUUUCCUGAUGGCCACACCCUCCAAACCCCCGAUACUGAUUUCAGAUUUAUGACAUCCAGAACUGUAAAAGAAUAAAUUUCUAUUGUUUAAGCCACCAAGUUUCCAGUAAUUUGUUACAGAGGCAGCAGGAAACCAAUACAGAGGGGAAAAUGACUUAAAACUACUUCUAAUUCCAAGAUAAUGUUCAAAAUGUUCAUGCAAAAACUACUUCUUGUGUCAACAUUCAGUCUAUAUAAGUGCUCUUGAAAUUAAUUAUCACUAUAAUUCAGUCUCAUGAGGAAAAAUAUUUUGGCUUUUUUUGUGAACCAAAAAUUUAUAGCAAUUCAUAAGUUACAGUUUAUGGAUGAAAUUAAACAUAUUUGAGAUUAUUUUUAUAUUAGCACUUUAUAAAUCAGUUGCUGAAAUAGUCUGUUUUGAAAUAUUAGAUAUAACUGCCAGGAAUAAUUCUGAUAUUUUCUUUAACACAUUUUAGUCAUUUCUUGAAUUGCAAUGUUUUAUUAUCAUAAAUUGCCAAACUAAUAAAAUUAAUUGCUAUUGAAAAAUAAGAAUUGUGAAUGUCUUCAGGGUGAGGGCUGAGCAUGUAAAAAGUUUUUUUUUUUCCUUAAAAAAAUGGGACUCAGGGGAGGAAGUUCCCUUCUUCUCCUUCAGAGAAUGUGGUCAUGAUCAUUUCUCCCUGCAAAGACCUGGAAAGGCUGCAGCCGUUUUGGAAAUACGGACUUACACUUGGCUGAUAGGCUGAGUCUGGGAGAGUGCAAAGAUGAAAAAACACCUAGCACAUGGAUCGUGUCACUGAGCUACUGAAUCAAUCACGGAACCAUGCUCCAUCUGUACUUUGUGUUCUCUCAUAGAAUAAAUGUUCACUUUGGGUUGUGUAUCCAUUACUUGAAGCUAAAAAUCUCCCCAUGUAGGCAAUGAUCACUACAAUGGGUUACUUACGUUUCUGAGUAACGUACUCAUUUAAUGAAAAAAAGAUAGAGCAAAGUCCUCAAUCAUAUUUAUCAAUUAACAAGGGUCUGACUAAAACUACUUGAGGUUCCAGGGAGAUAACGUGGGAACCAAGAUAUUUAAUUGUCCAUCUGCCAUUUGAGGAUUUUUUUUUCCCCACAAAAGGAAUCAAUUUGUGUAGCCAUGAUGGUGACUUCAGCUGAUGCCUCUGUUGAGCACUGGCUGUACUGUUUAAAUGAUAUACUAAAAUGGACAAAUGGGCAGAAGCUUCUUCACAAAGAGCAAAUCUAUCUCUGGUUUGCGUGGUAACUUUCAUGCCUGUAGUAGAAUAAACUUCAAUAUAUCCUAUUUAUAAAAUUGCUCUGAAAAUGGAAGACAUCUUAAAAUGUUGGCAUGCACUCAAUAAGGUGGUAUUCUCUCCAAAUUUAAUAUAAAAUUAAUGUUUUAAAAUUGACAACAUCUUUGAAUCUACAAAAUACAUGUGCCCCACUCCAGACCUACUGCCACAUUGACUCUAUACCUACUAAUCUAACAAAUAGUGAGCUUGUUUGGAUUUUGCCAAAAGCAAAUAUUUAAACAUGAGAACAGUUAAUAUUCCCAAUUGCUGCUUCAUAUAAAACUAAGCUAGCAUUUAUUUUAUCUCCCUGUCUUGUUCCUUGUGCACUGUUCUGGCUCUGUAAGAACACUAGACUUUGCAUGAGAAAACUAAGGAUUCAACUGAAGAUGAUUUAUUAAGUUGGUGAUUUAUUUAAGUACAUUUAUUGUCAUUGUUUUGCAACACAUAAUACAAUUUCCAAAAUAACUAGGAAUUGUUUUCUUCUAUUUUAUAUUGUUUUUUGAAUUUCCUCUAUGAAGGAAUCAUUUAACCUUUCAGUUUAGGCACUAUAUUUUUUACCUCAUUAUGCAACAGAAAUGUUUUGAAAGUUGUAGUCUGAAACCCAGAAUUCAGUCUUAGCUCCACAACUUAGUGGUUACUUAGCUCUUCCAAUCUCUGCAUUUGCAUAAGUUUGGGGAUAACCGUAAUUAAGAUACCUUACCUUAAGUGGUAAGAUUUGGGGAUUAAAUGACAAAAUCAGAAAAGUCUUUGUUUGUGUUUAAGUUCUGUAUACAGAUGUUCCU
rnacentral:lncRNA from 1 species